UUUAAAGACAAGUGACCAAAAGAGACUGACUGUUAAUAUUAUUGAGAAAGAUGAGAAACGUUACAAAGACUUGGACAACUCUGCCUCUGGUGAUAAAUCGUUUAUUUGGAUUAUUCUUGGCUCUUGUUUAGCUGUCCUCUUUGUUGUAGUCAUCGUAUGCUUUAUUGCAAGAAAAUAAAAGGAGGAACACUAAAGCCAAACUGGAAGUAAAUCAGGUGAGAUUCAGUGCAAACCCAGAUGAACUUAGGAACGAUGUAGAACUGGAAGAUCAUGCGUAUGAAAAUUCAAGCAGGAACGAUGUAGAACUGGAAGAUCGUGCAUAUGAAAAUUCAUGCAGGAACGAUGUGGAACUGGAAGAUCGUGCGUAUGAAAAUUUAAGCAGGAACGAUGUAGAACUAGAAAAUCGUGCGUAUGAAAAAUUGAAUGAUACCAGGCAUGCAAGUGGGCAAUCGGAAACAUUAUAUUCUCAACUAUCUCCAUAGACUUACUAAGAAAUGAUCUAGUUAAAGCAAUAGGCAUGUUAUGGGAAUUGAGAAAAUGUCAAAAUCUAACUGAUACAGCUGUUUCACGUCUUCUUACAGAUAUUGAUGCAGUUCUGGGAAAUUGUCCUCCAAGGAAAAAUUGUCCUAACUGUGGAAAUGGGUGUGAAAUUAAAAGGCGCAGAAAUAGUUAAAUAUGUAAGAUAUAUUAACAUGACGAAAGGUUACCAUUUCCUAAUCGAUCCAAAAAUGUUAGUUUAACAUGUAUUGAGGAUCAAAAUACCCUAAUCAUCUACAAAACAUUGUAAAUACAACAUUUGUGAAUUUAUACAUUUUCUAAACUUUUCUUAUAAUAUAACUAGCCUAUAAUAUAGAUACAAAUAUCGUGUACAUUGUGUGGCUAUACAUAUAUUGAGGUACACUGGGAAUUUCCAUAUUUUGACCAGGCAAUAGAGAAAUUGUAACUUUGU
rnacentral:lncRNA from 1 species